rnacentral:rRNA from 1 species
UACGAGGGGUCCUAGCGUUGUUCGGAAUCACUGGGCGUAAAGCGUAUGUAGGCGGGCUUUUAAGUCAGGUGUGAAAUCCCAUGGCUCAACCAUGGAAUUGCAUUUGAAACUGGAAGUCUUGAGUGUGGGAGAGAUUGGUAGAAUACCUGGUGUAGUGGUGAAAUACGUAGAUAUCAGGUGGAAUACCGGUGGCGAAGGCGGCCAAUUGGCCCAACACUGACGCUGAGAUACGAAAGCGUGGGGAUCAAACAGG